UAUAGCAGACAGUUGUCCGAGAUGUCUGUUGAUCGAAGUUGGAUGGAAUGUAGGGUAGCCACUGAUAGGAGUGGGCUUAGCUCUGAGUAUCGUAGUGGGGUUGAACAGUUUCUCAACUUUGCGUUUGAGCAAGUCAGUGGCGAUGAGAUCAGAUGUCCUUGUAAGAGGUGUGUGAAUGAAGUGUAGAAGGAAAUGAGUGAUGUCAUGUGAGAAUUAUUUUCGUAUGGGUUCAAGCAGGGUUAUACGACAUGGAUCUAUCAUGGGGAAACCUAGUUGGAUGAACAUGAAUCAGAAUCGGAAUCCAGAGGUGAC
rnacentral:lncRNA from 1 species